CUCUGCUAACUGGUACUUCGAUAUUGAAAUAUUCAAUUAUUAAAGUCAUAAUAAUUCGUCAUGAUUCGUCUAACAGUUUUCUGCAUUCUCAUCACCUACGUUAUCUCGGUCAAUUGUCAGCCUUUACCUGAGUCACAACAAUCGGAGGUUGAAAAAAUUAAAUUCAAGGAGGUUAUAUUGCAGUCAUUACAAAACUGUGAAUUAGAAAAAAUUGAUGUAAAUGCUAGAAAAACACAAGAUCGCCGUACGUUAUGAGAAGUAAUGUAUUUAGUCUAUUUCGACAAUGGCGAUGCACAGUCGACUAGGAGAAAUCUUGAAGCAAUAAGUGAAUCUAGAAAGAAAAAAUGUUCAAAUUCAGUCUAAGGCUGUGGACAUGAUUCAAAUUAGCCGUAUACAAG